rnacentral:rRNA from 1 species
AUACGGAGGAUGCGAGCGUUAUCCGGAUUUAUUGGGUUUAAAGGGAGCGUAGGCGGGAGCUUAAGUCAGCGGUUAAAUGGUGCGGCUCAACCGUGCCCUGCCGUUGAAACUGGGUUUCUUGAGAGUGCAAGAGGCGGAUGGAAUUCAUGGUGUAGCGGUGAAAUGCUUAGAUAUCAUGAAGAACUCCGAUUGCGAAGGCAGUCCGCUGGGGCACGUCUGACGCUGAUGCUCGAAGGUGCGGGAAUCAAACAGGAUUAGAUACCCUGGUAGUCCGCACGGUAAACGAUGAUUACCCGCUGUCGGCGGCAGACAGUCGGCGGCCAAGCGAAAGCGAUAAGUAACCCACCUGGGGAGUACGCCGGCAACGGUGAAACUCAAAUGAAUUGACGGGG